ACUCCCUUCUAUGAACUCCUAGCCUUCUUCGCAGACAGCCUAGCAUCUGGCUAAAGGGCACCUUGUUAGCAAACACAAUUUCUAUGAACGGAUUACCCAUGGACUGAAGCUGUUGUUGCCAGCGGCUGGAGGAGGGGACUCCAGACAUGAGUGUUCCAUGAGUGAUGCAGAUGUGGAGUGGAGGUCUCAGAGGCCUGAGUGACCGCAGCACAUGGCUUCGAGGAGGAGACGUGGGACGCGGCACAGCAGUCCGAAUGGGCGUCUUCUGCACAGUCUUCCAGCUUCCAGGGAGCGUGUGUGUUCACCAAGGCCGAAUGCUACAAGACUAGGUAAGCUGUCCAGCGCGACGGGCUCUUCCGAGGAGGAGUGUCCCUCUCCCCCGGUGCUGUGCUUCAGUCAAUUCUCCAGCACGCGGGCUCUCAAACCCUCAAGGGAGGCAUCGGGACAUUAGGUGUCCUCUGGGAAAGCACAGGUACCACCAGGGUCCCUCUCAGACCUUGUAGUAAAUGUUCGCCGGGCUCUGCGGGGGCAUCUCCUGGACGAUGUACACCGGGUGCCCGUAGUCCCCGCUGACCUUCUCGUAGUGAGGGCAGAAGACGCUGUCCGCAGUCCUUAGCGGGAUGAUAAUGUCACUGGGCUCUGAGCCGUUGUUGUUGCCGCUGCGCUUGGGUGUGGCCAGUGUGCUGAGCGACAGCGUGGUCGUGUGCUGCGGCGAGUGCUUCCUGUGUCUCCUCCGGUACUUCAGCAAGAGGACCACCAGCGUGAUGAUGAUGACGAUGAAGAUGAUGCAUCCUGAAGCAAUCCCUGCAAAUAAGGCCACUUCGGAACCGAGGAUGUUGUUCCCCGAAUGUCCGGCGCUGUUGCCGUCUGUGCUAGAACCUGCAGACGCGGAGACAGAAAAGGUCAGAGAUAGUUACUGCUGUCCCAGUGCAGACGGACUGCUUUUAUGACCCUUAAAAAUGUGAAAAAUAAGCCAGGCUUAUUACUAACUAGAAGCUGGACUUUGCCUCGCCAAUACCUCGUCUAAGAGCUCAACGCAAAAGGAAAUGAGAGGUAUCUCUAGGAGGGACUUCCCUACCCUCCCAAGCCACAGGGUUUCCUUUGUAUCAUUAUCCAGCAAGAGCACAGACUGUCGGUGACAGCCAGCCCUUGAUCUUGCUUCAUCUUCUAACCCGUGUCAGCCAGCCUGGGGCAGCGGCAGGGAAGAAAAAGGGAAGUGGCCAAUUCUCCAGGUCAGCGGUGAGCGUUUAUGUGGUAUUGCUCUUCCGCCUCCUUUGAGAAAGGGAGUUUCAUGCAAACCUUCAAAGGGCCUGCCUUCUAAAGAAGAGCCCUGCCUCCUGGCAGAACAGAACAGCUCGGGAACGCGGAAGGAGUGAGGGGGCCUGGGAAAAUGUUCAGCUCGUAACUCGUCUGUAUUAUUUGAUUUACACUUAAAAUAUAUUUGGAAGGCAGCAGAAACUCUCACACCGAACAGACUGCCAGCCCAAAUGUUAAGCACUAAAAAACUGCCUGGCAUCAUUAUAUUAUCCAUUUAUCAGUUUGUCACAAGAAUUUGACACAUCUUGUCAUUGAAAGUUAGAAAUAACAACUUCCCUCCUUGACUCUUGGAAAGGGAUGGAAUAUUGCUGCAGACGAUAAAUUUGCACAACGACCAAGCAAGCACACAACAAUCCUAAUACAAAACUGCUGAUGUCUGCUCAACAGCUACUCUAUAAAACCUUCAUUAGCAUGGUAACAAAUACAGAACUAUUUGUUCCAAGACUGUUAAGAAAACGAAGGUCAACGACGGACAAUUUUAUCUGGUAUUCUACACUUUUGUCAGGGACCUGUUUAAUAUUUUCUUUUACAUGGAAAAUGUGAAACAAAAUAACGAUAACCACCUGAAAAAAUACUAUUAUGCAAUAUUUAAAAAUGUUACCAUUUAAAAUUUAGAAGAGGAUCAAUUAAACCCUCUGUGGCUUAGAUAUAAUUAGAUGAGGGAUUAGCACAUUAAUUACAUAUACAUUAACAUCAGCUUUAAGCUGGAGUUGACAACCAGCUUGAUAAAAUGUCAGCCAAUGAAACCUUUGGCCUGACAGAGUAGUUCUAAUAACUGGCACUUACAGCUCAUGAACUCUACUCCUUUGAAUAUAUGACUUUCAUUGGAAUGAGUUAUUUUGUUCUUAUUGAGUGUAAUUAAUAAUGACUCACUGACAGCAAAGAUUCCUGAUCACUGUAACUUCCAGCUAAUCCUAACUGGUUAGAAGUCUUUAGACUCUGCCCUACCUUUUAAGAUACUACUAAGAAUGUGGUACCCACAGACCUCCAUACACACAGAUCAUGCUGUUAUACCUGGAUUUGGUUUUACAAAGGGACUUGUUGUCGAACUUCUUCCAUUUGUACCAGCUUCUAGUUCUGGACGUCUUGUUGGAUCUUUAUUCCUGGUUGAUCCAGCAGAACUUGCAUCUAUAUGAAAAACAAAUGAUUAAUUACGGCACAGACAUCUGACAAUAUCUAGCUUUAGGAGCUGCAUAUAUAUUUCAACAGGCAUGAAUAGCAAUGAACAUAAGAGUCUUUAUGCAAAGUACUGUGAAAUACAAGAAUAUAAUUUUUCUUUUAAAACAAAAUGGUUAUACUAGUUAUUUCAGAGGUUUAGAACGUGAGGCCAUCUGUGGAAACUAUAGGGAUUCUUGCAUUUGGCAGGCAAAGCAUUGCAGAUGACAUUUCAAUUUAACUGAGCAAGUUGAUUGACUACUAUACCAAUUUUUAAUUAGAAGAAUAAUUAUUUCUUUCUGCACAAUAGGUUAUCUAUAUUGGAAAAGUCACAAUGAACAAAACUCUUCUGUAGUCAAGAUUCAGAAAUGAGCAAAACUGCACAAGCUUUUAGUUUUCAUUCUGGAUAUUUUGAUUUUGAACCAAAGUGUUUUGCUUUUUAAAAAGAAAUAUCUAUCUAUCUAUCUAUCUAUCUAUUAUCUAUCUAUCUAUCUAUCUAUCUAUGGCAAUAGACAUUCUACCUUGCUGAUCUUAACUCUUAGAUCUCCAAUAAAAGCUUAGUACAUUGACUUGAGGAAAUCUGUCAGUGGCUCAAAGUGCAGAAGGGUUUGCUUUGAAAACUAAAAAGAAGAGCGAAUGAAGGUGGGCAUCGGCAACAUUAGCACCAUACUAGCUGGGGGCUACACCAGGUCACAGUGGCGUCAUGAAGCAGCAGAUGGUCUUUACCUUGUCCAACUUUCAUGAGGAUCUUCAUGGCUCUUGUCUGGCACACCCCUCCCUCCUGGUUAUCCAGGCCCUCCAAAGACCCAUUUGAUGUAGCUGAUUAAAAAUAAAAUGGACAAAACAAAAAAAUAAAGAAAAAUCAGGAAAUCAAUAAGCCAAGUUUACAUGAACAUGAAAUGUCUGAAAACAAUUUGAAAAAUAAGAAUUCACUCUUAGUCACAAGUUUUCUGAAAGUAUGGGGA
rnacentral:lncRNA from 1 species